rnacentral:rRNA from 1 species
UACAGAGGUCUCAAGCGUUGUUCGGAUUCAUUGGGCGUAAAGGGUGUGUAGGUGGCGCCGUAAGUCGGGUGUGAAAUUUCGGAGCUUAACUCCGAAACUGCAUUCGAUACUGCCGUGCUUGAGGACUGGAGAGGAGACUGGAAUUUACGGUGUAGCGGUGAAAUGCGUAGAUAUCGUAAGGAAGACCAGUGGCGAAGGCGGGUCUCUGGACAGUUCCUGGACGCUGAGGCACGGAAGGUCAGGGGAGCAAACGGG